rnacentral:tRNA from 7 species
AGAGAGAUGGCAGAGUGGUCGAUUGCGACGGUCUUGAAAACCGUUGACUGUUACAGGUCCGGGGGUUCGAAUCCCUCUCUCUCUG